rnacentral:rRNA from 1 species
UUGUUGGGCGGCGAGCGGCGGACGGGUGAGUAAUGCCUGGGAAUAUGCCCUGAUGUGGGGGAUAACCAUUGGAAACGAUGGUUAAUACCGCAUAAUCUCUUCGGAGCAAAGAGGGGGACCUUCGGGCCUCUCGCGUCAGGAUUAGCCCAGGUGAGAUUAGCUUGUUGGUGAGGUAAGAGCUCACCAAGGCAACGAUCUCUAGCUGGUCUGAGAGGAUGAUCAGCCACACUGGAACUGAGACACGGUCCAGACUCCUACGGGAGGCAGCAGUGGGGAAUAUUGCACAAUGGGGGAAACCCUGAUGCAGCCAUGCCGCGUGUAUGAAGAAGGCCUUCGGGUUGUAAAGUACUUUCAGUUGUGAGGAAGGCGUUGUCGUUAAUAGCGGCAAUGUUUGACGUUAGCAACAGAAGAAGCACCGGCUAACUCCGUGCCAGCAGCCGCGGUAAUACGGAGGGUGCGAGCGUUAAUCGGAAUUACUGGGCGUAAAGCGCAUGCAGGCG